CGUAGGGACCGAGCGUUGUCCGGAUUCAUUGGGCGUAAAGAGCUCGUAGGCGGCUGCUCAAGUCGAAUGUGAAACCUCGAGGCUUAACCUCGAGCCUGCAUUCGAUACUGGGCGGCUAGAGUCUGGGUAGGGGGAUCUGGAAUUCCUGGUGUAGCGGUGGAAUGCGCAGAUAUCAGGAGGAACACCGGUGGCGAAGGCGGGAUCCUGGGCCAGUACUGACGCUGAGGAGCGAAAGCGUGGGGAGCAAACAGGAUUAGAUACCCUGGUAGUCCACGCCGUAAACGAUGGGCGCUAGGUGUGGGAGGUCAUCGACUCCUUCCGUGCCGCAGCUAACGCAUUAAGCGCCCCGCCUGGGGAGUACGGCCGCAAGGCUA
rnacentral:rRNA from 1 species